GCCCCCAUCAUCUAGUGGUUCAGGACAUCUCUCUUUCAAGGAGGCAGCGAGGAUUCAACUUCCCCUAGGGGUA
rnacentral:tRNA from 1 species